rnacentral:rRNA from 1 species
AAGAGAGUGCAAGAGAACGUGAAACCGACAUAAUGGAAGCGGAUGGAGCCGACGUAUCUGGUGCGUAUUCAAUCGCUCGCGACGGCAAUCGUCUGUUCAGCAUUCCGCAAGGUUGUUGAGCGGGCGUUCGUUUGUCGGCGCGGACGAUGCACUUGCGUACGGAGUGCGCCGAGUGGGUUGACGGUGUCGUCGGAGGCGCGUUUAGAGGACUUGGCGUGGCAACACGUCGAGAACCCUGAGCGUGCGGAUGGCGAGUGUCGUUGGCUUGUUGCUUGUGGGACGGGUGUAUUCGUGGGCGUUCGUUGCGGUGCGGGUUACUCGUGUACGACACAUGUGUCGUGCGCUUGCUUCUCGUAUCGUGUGCGUUCGUCUGCCCUCGUCCUCGACUCGGUGUAUAGUCGGUCACCCAUUUGACCCGUCUUGAAACACGGACCAAGGAGUUUAAGGUGUACGCGAGUCAUUGAGCUUAUUGUCGAAACUCAACGGCGUAAUGAAAGUGAGACUCUUGGAGUCGACGAUGUGAACGGGGCGCGUUUCGACGUUCUUCGUGCAACAUCGCCCCGUGACUUGGACUUGUCCUGUUGCGGAGGUUGAGCGUACGCUUUGAGACCCGAAAGAUGGUGAACUAUGCCCGAACAGGAUGAAGCCAGAGGAAACUCUGGUGGAAGUCCGAAGCGGUUCUGACGUGCAAAUCGAUCGUCUGAUUUGGGUAUAGGGGCGCCAGACUAUUCGACCCAUC